rnacentral:tRNA from 1 species
GUUAAGAUAGCUUAAUAAGAGCGUUACAUUGAAGCUGUGAAGGUGAUUUUUCUUUUAACA